UACGGGGGGAGCAAGCGUUGUUCGGAUUUACUGGGCGUAAAGGGCGUGCAGGCGGUUUGUUAAGUGCAGGGUGAAAGCUCCCGGCUCAACUGGGAGAGGUCCUUGCAUACUGGCGAACUCGAGGGAGGCAGAGGAAAGUGGAAUUCCCGGUGUAGUGGUGAUAUGCGUAGAUAUCGGGAGGAACACCUGUGGCGAAGGCGGCUUUCUGGGCCUUACCUGACGCUGAGACGCGAAAGCGUGGGGGAGCGAACCGG
rnacentral:rRNA from 1 species